rnacentral:lncRNA from 1 species
CACCCUUGAAGCCACCAUGGGCUGGAUAUUGAAGAGUCAGGGCCUUGCAGCUGGAGGUCUAGGGGGCCUGGAAGCAGGUGGCAAGGUUCAAGUGGCUGCUCCAGCUCCUGCCAUCAUAUCAUAAUUCCAGUCAGUAGGAAGGGGAAGAUUUGCCCCUUCCUUGUAAGGGCACCCUUGAAGUUUGCAUAUAAUGUUGCUGUUCAGAUCCCAUUGGCCAAGCUUAGUCACAUGGCCAUACAAUCUGCAAAGGAAGCUGGGAAAUAUAAUCUUGCUCUUAGCUAAAAUAUGGGGAGAUUUACCAGUAGAGGAAGAAGGAGAGAACAGACAUGCUCUGCCAGAGCCCACCGUCUGGCCACCCCUCACAAGGAACGCAUUUAGCAUCCGUCAAAGGGGAACAAGUCAGGGUUCCAUCCAGACACAGCACAGCUCAGAGCCCUGGAUCUCUGAGGGACCAGGUGUGGGUGGGCUCCUCAUGCUCUGGAGACCGAUAAGCCAAAAGGCAGGUAGUCUGGCCCUCCCACUCCCCAUAGACACCAGUGGAGGAGGAACAGGAUAAAUAAACUUGGUUACAAUCCAUGGCAAUCCCCCGGCAGUCACUGGAUCUUAGCAAUUACUAAGCCCAGUUGAGCAGGAAUUGCAAAUCCUCUUGCCGGCAGUGGAGUAAGUUCUUGGGCUGCACAUCUGGCCACCCCUGGUUCUGCUCUCUGGGGGGACCUCUCCUUCCUACUCUCCUAUGUGGCCUCUGUCAUGGCCUCCUGGGAAGUUAUUCCUUACCCACGAUCCUCUGGGGCUGCACCAGAGACCACAUCCGUCCUAGCAGACUUUACAACUUUCACCACCUUCUUCCUGCUGGUGCAGAUCUGGGGUGCUGGGGGUAACUGCGGGGGCCAAACCAGGCUUUGUGGACCAGGUUUGUGGUUUCUUUGCCAGUACAACAUCCUCGAAAUCUUAGAAGGCUCCUGAUUGUUCCCAUGUUUGAGCAACCACAGCCAAUGGUGUCG